GCCCUUUGACCACGUGCAGUUGGUAGGUCAUGAGGCCCUUAAUCUCAGGGUUAUGGGUUCGAGCCCCACGUUGGACA